rnacentral:tRNA from 1 species
GGCGGGUUAGCUCAGCUGGUAGAGCAGCGGAAUCAUAAUCCGCGUGUCGGCGGUUCAAGCCCGUCACCCGCUACCA